GGUCAGUGACGUCAUCGUGUUUGUGUUUUAAUUUAAACAGAAAUAGAAGCUGAGCAGAGUGAGCAGAUUGAGAUUUCCCAGAUUGAGAGAUUCAUCAGGAUGGAGACCGUGAGAGAGCAGCGAGGAGGACCAGGACAUCCAGGAUCCGACAGCAGCGGGAAGACGACGGUUGGUCCAGGCCCAGUUCAGCGGUGCGCGGCUGCGUAUCUACUGGGUUCUCGGGCCUGUGCUAAACCGACUGAGGGUUUAGCAAUUUUGAUUGAGCCAAUGCCCCUACCAUCAAAAGGGCGGAAGAAGGUGCAGCAAUAUCCUGCAGCCAGGAAGCCCCAACGAUACCCCAAGGCUGGUCCAUCACGGGUGAAGGUGCUGACAAAGCUGCCCCUGAUGGGUACUACAGCCAAGCCGCCUUUCCCCUACACUGUAGCCAAGAGGACCAGACCAGACACCUUGUCCAGGAGGAAACAGAUGAGCUGUCCAUAUCGAAGACCCCAGGCUGGAACGUCCACUGUGCUGCCUCUGCCUGUCACCGCUGUGACCAGUUCAUCAGAGGCAGGCAUGAAGGUCCCCAGGAUGCAGCUGCCCCAGGACAACUCGACAUCAGAGCGAGAAUCAAUGAAGAGAAAGGAGACCAUGAGAGAGCAGCAAGGAGGACCAGGACAUCCAGGAUCUGACAGCAGCAGGAAGACGACGGCCGGUCCAGGCCCAGUUCAGCGGUGCGCAGCUGCGUAUCUACUGGGUUCUCGGGCCUGUGCUAAACCGACUGAGGGUUUAUCCAUUAUGAUUGAGCCAAUGCCCCUACCAUCAAAAAGGCAGAAGAAGGUGCAGCAAUACCCUGCAGCCAGGAAGCCCCAGCGACACCUCAUGGCCCCCAGGACGCAGCCAGACCCGACCACCUCCUGUACCCAGCUGCCCCGGGACAAGUUGGUCCGUCUCUUCAGCACUCAGGAAAAGCCGAAUCCACCGAGUGCUGUGUGCCUUCCAUCUUGGAGGAAGCCGCAUUCUCACCUCAUGUCGUCCAGCACGACAUCAGAGCGAGAAGCAAUGAAGAGAGAGGCUCAGCGGCAGCGAGAAGAGGCGGCCAAGAUCACCCGUAAUGGGGUAGACUGCAGCGUACUGGCUGACCGCUGGCACUACCCCUACAUCUGGCCUAAUUAAUGAGUAAGUAAGUGACAGGUAAGUGAAGUAAUAUGUAUUAAGUUAGGUAGUAAUAGUUAGUAAGUAGUAUGUAGUAAGUUUUUGUAGUAAUAGUUAUUAAGUUAUAUGUAGUAGUUAGGUAAUAAGUUAUUUAGUAAUAUGUAGUAAGUUAGGUUAUAAUAUGUAUUAAGUUAUAUAGAGUAAGUUGGGUAAUUAGUAUAGACAGGACUUGAUGUAAUUGAUAUGAUGUGUUUACCUGUGUAGUUCUAGUGACACGGUAGUACAGUGCUUGGAGAUAUGAGCCAACCGUAGGCCAUUUAUCAAGAAAAGCUUACACAUCUACAUACAAACCUCACACAUACACCAUAUAUUCCUCACACAUCUACAUACAAACCUCACACAUACAACACGUUUACUUGAUAUAUGGCCUAGGGGGUGCCUCAUGGAGCUGCUGCCUUAUAGAAAGAAUCUGGGUUCUAGUCCUGGCCCGGGUUCUUUCUGUGUGGAGUUUGCAUGCGCUGCCCGUGUUCACGUGGGUUUUUCUCCGGGUACUCCGGUUUCCCACAAUCAAAGCAUUAUUUCAGAGAUUUUUUCUAAUAUCUAAUAAUAAUUUUUUUGAUUAUUUGAAAUCUGUGACUUGUAAUAACUGUAAUUUGGCAGUUAAAUUUAGUCAAACUACUGGUUGUUCUGUGAACCAGUAUGAAUUGGCAAACCAAAUGCAAAUCCCUGGUGGUGUAUCGGUAACACAUUCACCUUCAUGGUGGAAAUACCAGGUUCGAACCCUGGCCAGGGUUGAAUGAUUGGUUUGCCCUAAACAUUGUUGUUUUUCAACUUAUCUAUCUGUUUGUCUGUCUGUCGUCUGUAUUUUAUUUGAUUAUGACAUAAUAUAAUAAAGAUUAGCACUUCCGGUUGCGGUGAGUGCA
rnacentral:lncRNA from 1 species